CUUGGGCCGCUCCCGCGGCAUAUGGAGGUUCCCAGGCUAGGGGUUGAAUCGGAGCUGUAGCCACCGGCCUACGCCAGAGCCACAGCAACGCGGGAUCCGAGCCGCGUCUGCAACCUACACCACAGCUCACGGCAACGCCGGAUCCUUAACCCACUGAGCAAGGGCAGGGACCGAACCCGCAACCUCAUGGUUCGUAGUGGGAUUCGUUAACCACUGCGCCACGACGGGAACUCCCUUCCCUAUCAUGAAUGUUUUCUGUAAACAGCAUCUAUGUUUAAACUUGGUCUUCUCUAAAAGAAGUUUAAGCACUUUAUACUUAUUUACAUAAAUGGAAAGUGAUGUCAGCAAGAUGACUGAAUAAGAUAGCCCGUCGCUUGUCUCUCUCUUCAACAAAAAUAAUUUGGCCACCAUCCCCAGGGGUUGCAAAACAAACAAAAGCAGAAACACAAAGACAAAACUUGAUGGGAGCUUUGAGAUUCAGGCGGUAGAUGUGACCCUGCUGGAGACCCUCCUGAACUGGUCCCCAGCAAGGUUCCUCCUGGCUGGUGUUCCUCCAGCCCCCAGAAGGAGCCUGCUUUGGGUGCAAGGGCAGAGGAAAGCGUGCCUCCUGCAUCAGCAUGGACAGGCGUGAGCUGAGCUCCGGAAGCCACGCUCUCCCCCAGGCUGGGGGCGGCGCCCCUUUCUAGGGGCUCCUCAUUGGGCAGGGGGCGGGCCUCCGGGGGUGAAGGGGGAGGCGCAGGCGCAUUGCUCAGCUCCAGCCGCAGGGUGGGAGUGGGGGACCUCCGCACGCCGGCCACCUGCCACUGCCCGCGUGGGUGGGGGGUGCUCAGGUGUGGCAUCGCCCCUCGCUCGAGCGGAGGCCUGACGACGGCCCUUGUGCCCCGGAAACCUGGUCUGAAGGGCAGGGAGGGUCGGACUCUGCAGCGGCCCCCCGGGAGCCAGGGAACCUAGACGGAGCACAGAGGAGAAGAAAAAAAAAGGUGAGACUCUGCUACCUUGAUCCUAUUUUUAUUUUCUGAAAUUAUUAAUGGGCUUCGUUGGCGACAACACCCCCCCCAAUCUGCCUAUUGUCCUGCCCCUAGUUCUCCAGGGGUGCAGGCAGGAGCAGGUCCAUCUUCUGUAACUGUUUUCUGCUGAGCGCCGGUGUCUUGCUAAUCCGGGUGGAGGAGCAGGACUUCUCAGCCUCCUUUGGAGGUGUUUGCUUGUCCCCGGGCCUCGGCCCUUAGCAGUUUCUCUCUGCGUGACCACCAUUUGUCCAACCUUCCAGAGACAAAGGACACCAGGCAGUGGAAGAUCCCUGGGCCAGAGGUCAGCAAAAGAGAGCCAUGGUCACCUGCCAACGUUUUCCCACGAAUGCAGGUGUCCUGGUCUCUGGCCUGUAGUGAGUGUGCCCUGAGGUCAAGGCUCAGACUUUUCUGGUUUUGAAAGAGGAGAUGCAGGUCAGAGUGUGGUUUGCUGAGGAAUCAAGGGGGUCCAUUGCCCCAGGUUGUCUCUCUGGAGGUUGGGGUGCGGGGCCUUUUUACUUGAGUGUGAUGUUUUCACAGAUUUUUCCCUGCGACGUCAGGGCAGAGCCUGUGGUUAGGGGCACGGAGUGGAGUCUGUCGCAUUUAGGAGUGAGCUGAUCUAGUGGCCGAGGGUUUCCACACGUUUGGGUGCACACGGGAUUCUGGCUAAAAGUGGGCGAGGGCCAGGUCAGGUGCAGGCAGAGCCUGGUCACUGAGUUUUGGGAGAGCGCUCCUGCCUGGAGGGGGCACCUGAGCUGCUCCAUUUCAGGGGGGCUAAGGUUUCCCUUUUCUCGGGCUCGGGGAAGGGGUCUACACUACAUGAAUUCAAAUGCAUUUAAUGUUAACGUAUCUCUUAGAACUAACUGCAUGGGGAGCAGGGCAGUGGGCACUUAAUCCAGUUUUCUUGAGUUUCAGCCAAGGCCCAUUUUAAAAUUUGAAUAGAGCUCUUGACUUUCCCUGAUGAGAAAUGGGGUCUCCAGGCCGAUUGGAAGGUCCGUUUUUUAUGCCCAGGGCACUCGUAGAGUGGCCCAUAAGGUGUAGGGUUAGGGAGCACAGGAUGUAUGUCCCAGGUGGCCUCAGUGGCUACCCUGAGGUCCAGUACCAUGUGGUGUUCCCCACUGAGUGUUUUUUUUUUUUUUUUUAACAAGGAGAGUGGGGGUGCCGAGGCCAGCUCAGCAGGAUGGGGCUGAAGAACGGGUGCUCUGGAACUUAAGGAACAAAGUUAACAUAAAACAAGACACAGAGACAUUGAUCUUAAGUAAAGGUGGGAACUGGGGGACUCAAGGUCUCAGGGACCAAGAGCCCCGCCUCAAGAAACCACACUGCUUUGAUUGUGCUCUGGAGGAGGACAAGGAUGACGUCAAGCGAAAAGGGGGUUUUAGGUGCAGGAUAUAGGGCUUUUUAUUAUUAUUUUAAAAGUCACUUAGCUGGUAGAUGGUUAAACUUUUACUCUAAACUUUAGGCAUUUAAGAAUCAUUAGCAUUUGAGUUAGCUGUCUAUGCAUAGCAUUUCAGAGAAUCCUCUGCAAAGGGCAUGCCUAUUUGCGGCAACCCUGAGUGCCUAGGUUUGCACCUUGGUUCUCUUUGCUAAUGCAUAUUCUGCUAAGGACCCCUCAUACACCACUUGGUCAGGAGGUUCCUCUUUCUCUUAUUCUUUAGAGGACACAUCAUGCUUGUGCAAACGGCGUGCCCGUCUGCACAGGUGCGGUGCGCCUAGACCAUUGUAUCAUAUCCACAUUCAGCUGACCCCGCGAAUAACCCCUGCCCUUAGGUCUUUGUUCUUAAGCUCAAGUCAUUUACCAUCACCGAGCCUGUUUCUCCAGCAGGAAGACAGGACAAAGUAAGGCAGGACAAGAUGGAGUUUUCAGCAAAGACGCUAAGAAAAUAUUAUAAAAACAUGUCCUGCAGCUUGGGGGUACUAAGGCUGAUUGCCCCCCGCAUAACAGAGACAAUGCCCAAAAAGGCCUCCUGACGCAGGGGGUACUGUUUUUAUUGAGCCAAGUAUGUCUGAGUUCACUCCACUCAUUCCCGGGCCCAGACCUUGGGAUUUGCUCCAGGGACACCAGCUUGAUCUGCCUGGGAAGGUUUGUUCUCAGCCACUAACGUUGUCAUCAUGUGCCCUUUUUCUGCAGGGGUGCAGGUGUCCACUUUGUCUCCAAUCGGGUGCAUAGUAAUCCCCAUUUAUCUAAGUUAUCUCUUUCUAGCAGGGGGCAUGGGGCAUUCGAGGUCCUACAGGAAGGGGUGGAUGUAUCUCUAAUUUACAUUCUGAUGGCUCUGGGAGUGCCUGUUUUUGAGUCUGCCCUGAAACCCUCAUCAUUUUACAACUCCUGUGACCAAGUUUGCCUGAUCUGGUGUUCAGUACUAAGCGGCACUGGUGUUGACUAAGAAUUCAUCAGGCUUUCCUCUGUGUCCAGUGUCAGCCGGGGCUCCAUGGAGGGCCAUUGGAGUACCAGCUUAGGAGCCCCCGGCUCCAUCAUUUUUCAUCCAUUGGGACCAUCUGCCUCCAAGGGUGCUGGCUGGGAGCUGCCAUUUCUGCCCCCCUUUGUGGGUGGUGAGGGCAUUCACUCUUCCUGUGUCCCUCUUGUUUACAUAUGGUCCACUUUUUGGGUUCUGUUUCCUUGGCUUUCUAUCCAUCUCGGUGGGGUCUGAGAGUCACUCACUGCGUUCAAGCGUCUCUGUGGGUGGUUAGUCCAGAGCCCCAUGCUGGCUGGCUGACAUCUUGCCUCUGGAUCUUUUUAUUCUCUGACGUUUCCUUCUCUGUAUCUCAGUAAUUCAACAUCCCUUUGGCAACCUAUACCAGGCAGGAGGUGGGGGUGUCUGAUUCUAUUUUCAGUUUCCCAUGUUUAUGCCUCAUGUCAGCAGCACUUUGGGAAGUGAAAUAUGACCUCAGGAUCACAUUACCUCCCAGGGACCUGAAGUCACUAGUGGUACAGAUUCAAAGGUAUUCCCUGGGGGUCCCCAGGAGUGCCAGCGGGGCUUCUGUUGGCUCCUGAUUGAUUCCUUUAUCUUAUUCCCAUUGGCAGGCUUCUUUCCUGCUGCUUGGACUCCCUUCAGGAUCCACAUACGAUCUUCUACCCCUUCUCCAAGUGGUGGUCCCAGUGGGGCUCGUUAUGUGAGACCCCUUGAUUCCUCAGUCUGAAAGUAGCAUAACCUGCACUUUUUCUAUUCUUCUUGCUGU
rnacentral:lncRNA from 1 species